ensembl:lincRNA Lhx1os LIM homeobox 1, opposite strand
AGUGGCGGCGGGCCCGCGCGGUGCCGGCGACUAGCAGCGAGAUGUCCUGGCCCCUUCCAGGUUUGGAGAUGGCCUUGGGAGAGCAACCUCCGGACCUCAGCAGUGUGAGGAUGACAACAGUACCCUGUGGUGCUGUCCCCACUCAGGUUGGCUGCCAUCCCUGCUGAUGGAGAGAGGCUGAAGUCUGUCUGAGAAGAUAGUGCCGGCAGCUACUUAGCUGGUACUAAUUGUAUUUGCAGAGUAGGGGGUUUCUCUCUGUAGCCCCGACUAUCCUGGAACUCACUCUGCAGACGAGGCUGUCCUCAAGCUCAGAGAUCUACCUGCCUCUGCCUCUGAAGUACUGGGAUUAAAGAUGCAGAGGCCUCCCAGAGAAGUGUGAAGGAAUGGGCCUUAACCAGGGUUGAAGAAAGAAAGUGAAGAAGGGGAGAGCCCAAGGAAAGGUGGGGACAGUUGGAACUUUUGUUUACACUGGUCUACUACUCAUGUAUCGUAUGCUAUAAUCUCCAAAUUCCACAUUUAUUGUAGCUGUCUGCCCCGGCCGCAUGCUGCUUGGCUAAAAAAGUGUUAAAUAAAACUGUAAGAAACGCU